rnacentral:lncRNA from 1 species
CACAUAUAUUUCUCUAACAAUGCAUUUAUUAAGGAAUUCAGCUCUAAGGAGAACAGUUUUGCCACUUUGAUCAUCUGCUCAGACUGUAUUUUCUAUAACCUGGGAAAAUUUACAAAUGCACUCCAAAACAUUGAAUCUAGAUCCUUGCCACUCACAGAAUUGUCCAUCUCCUUAUUGCUUUUCAGAAAUGCAGAUUCUUGGGCCAGUCUGCCAACCCCAGCCUAUCCACAAGGAUCCUCCAGGUGGUUUGGUGCACUUAAAAUUUGAGGAGGGUGCUGCUCCCGACAGAAACCUUUCCCUGACAUUCUUCCACCCAUCUUGGAUAGUGUUCUAUGAGUCUAUGAAAAUCAAAUGGAGUUUUUGACUGAGAUUAACAUUUAAGCAAGUGGACUUUAAGGAAAACAGAUUGCCCUCCAUAAUGUGGGUGACACUCAUCCAAUCAGCUGAAGGCCUGAAUCAAACAGAAGACUGACCUCCCCCAAUCAAGACGGAAUUUUCCAGCCCAGCAGCCUUUGGAUUUGAACUGCAGCACUGGCUCUUCUUAGGUCUCCAGACAGCCAGCUCUCCCUGAAGAUUUUGGGGCUCUGUAAGCCAUUUCCUUAAAAUGUGCAUGUGCGUGUGCAUGUGCGUGUGUGUGUGUCUCUGUGCGUACACACGCAUCCUAUGGGUUCUGUUUCUCUGGAGAACAUUAAGUAAUGUGACCCUUUUGUAAGUUUUUAGAAGGAAUAUUUAUUGAAUGCCUUCUAUGUGCCGAACUGUGGACCCUCUUCCCAGAAAAUUGUGCACAAACACAAAUUUUACAUAGGGUUUUCACGGAAUUACCAAUCUCUUGAAGGACAUCAUGGACCUCCUCCCUCAAAUUAAAAACGCCUGAGCCUCUGGCUAGUAAGAGGAAUAUAACUGUACUCCCUCUCCAAGUCUUCCUGUUCCAAAAGAACAAUUACCACCUGGCAGGUGGAGAAAGGAGGUAGCUGCAGAGUUAUACAAGCGCCAGAAGGUUGUCCCGCCAGAAAUCUCUCUCUCC